GGCUUGAAUGGCGUCGGGGUUGGAGGGUUGGAAGGUCGGGAAGUGAAGGACUCGCAGGCAUAUUUAACAACGCAAAGUUGCUAGGAGUUGGUACCAGCGUUUGGGAGGUAGAGGUGGCGCUCAUGCAUAUUUGAGACAACAUCUGGAUGGUUGGGGAGAACGGUGAUGCCACACUCAAUCAGAAACUAUGCUACUGCUGAAGAGGUAUAUUGAGCCCUGCCUGGUUAACCUCCAGUGAGGUUAUUAGAGAAUUGGGAGAGGCUCAAAUCAGCAUCCUGCACCUAGUUAUCAAACCAUUGUGAAGUCUUGAUUCCUGGAUGGCCAGAAAACUUGUCAUUGGUCAAGAGCAACAUUAAGAUCUGCCUGUUACUCAUACUGAUGCUUCCUGCCCAGCAAGUUCAUCAGAGGGCGAGGAUGAAUUACGGUUGCCAUGAAUGUCCUUGUGAGGCAGUUGGGAAGCCUUGGCUGGAUUGUGAAGGAUAUUUGAAAAGUAUUUUAGAGUCCACCAGAUCAUCCAUGUGAGUGACCAUGCAGCAAAAGAAGGAGGGUCCUCUCAGUGAUUAAGAACAGUGGUUGGUAGGAUGGCGGAGACAUGGACUUCAGAGAGUUCUUGGUAGAAGACUCAAAGAGCCACCUGUCAUGAGACAUCCCACUUCCUUCCCCAGGUUACUUCCAAGACUGAGCAGCCAGGUUUUUGGUAGAUGAGAACAAAUGUUUCUUCCUGAAGCCCUGGGGCUUCAGGUAGGAAGAAGGACUGCUAUACUUGUUCUCACCCUUGGCUUCUGGCUGCUCCAGUUAAACAUGGUUCCCAUUGAUACAGACAUUAGAGUGGGAAAGGACUUCGUUCAUAGACCGAAGACCCUCAAAGGAAAGUCCUUCCAUUUUGGGAAGGGUGACAUUGAUUUCGUUUAGCUGCUUAAGAUAUGUACUUGCUGUUGUCUUGUGAGACAUGACAUCUGAAGCUGAAGAGGAGUCCCUCUCAUUGUUGUCAUUGUCCCACCGGGACUGAAAGUCUCCCAGUUGAGGCAGCAUUUUAGCUUUGAUGUCUACAGGGCAAUCAUGGAUCAGGAAAUUUCUGCAAAUUAGACUUGGAAAACAAGGUCUUGAUCCUUCUUGUCUUUGGACGAAGACUAAUCAUCACUUUUGACUGAAGGUGUAGUGCUGGAGACUAUGUUGGAGGCAGCACCUGAUGCACUAUCCAUAUUCUUCCCCUUGAUCUUGUCUUAAAGUUUUCCAAAUGGAUUCCGAGGCUUGUCUUUGAUGAAAAGGUCAAACAUACUGGCAGUCAUGUUGUUUCUCAUAAGCUGGAUGUCAACCUCAAUUUCUCCUCUUUAUCCUUCUCUCCUGGUUUGGAUUUCAAGGUAUACCACCGCAUCUUCCUGCUCCCCUAGUCUGGGUGCAGGUCCUGCAGGUACACCUCGGCGAAGCCCAAGUACAGUAGCAGCAGCACCUCAAAGGUGGCCUCCUCCUCUGACACUGAGGUGGCAUACUUCUCCUUACCCACCUGAAUCACCGAGUACAUGUUGCUUGUACCGUCAGGCUCUUGGUUCUUGGCCCCUGGCCCUAUGCCUGCAACACUGUCACCUGCACGUGGAUUGGGAACCACAUAGCCCCCGGACCUGCUAAGGCCAUUAAGGACAGGAUGGUGAUGCCUCGGCUGACUGACGUGAGAAGAUUGUCAUGACCCAUGGCCUCUACUGCUGUCCUACCAACAGAAACUUCAUAAUGUUGUGCAGGCGUUACCACUACCUAGUUCCAGAACAUUGCCAUCACCCCCAAAAUAAAUCUUGCAUUCA
ensembl:lncRNA FTX FTX transcript, XIST regulator